AUUGAACGCUGGCGGCAGGCCUAACACAUGCAAGUCGAGCGGAUGAAGGGAGCUUGCUCCUGGAUUCAGCGGCGGACGGGUGAGUAAUGCCUAGGAAUCUGCCUGGUAGUGGGGGAUAACGUCCGGAAACGGGCGCUAAUACCGCAUACGUCCUGAGGGAGAAAGUGGGGGAUCUUCGGACCUCACGCUAUCAGAUGAGCCUAGGUCGGAUUAGCUAGUUGGUGGGGUAAAGGCCUACCAAGGCGACGAUCCGUAACUGGUCUGAGAGGAUGAUCAGUCACUGUGGCUGUGAGACGCUGUCCAGUCUCACACGGGGGGCCGCUGUGGAGAAUUGUGGACUAUGGGCGAAAGUCUGACACAGCCAUGGCGCGUGUGAAGAAGGUCUUCGGAUUGUAAAGCACUUUAAGUUGGGAGGAAGGGCAGUAAGUUAAUACCUUGCUGUUUUGACGUUACCAACAGAAUAAGCACCGGCUAACUUCGUG
rnacentral:rRNA from 1 species